rnacentral:lncRNA from 1 species
AUGGUAUAACUCAUAUAGUUGUUAGAUAUUCUUUAACAGAUUUUUUUUAAAAAAUUCUAUGUUACAUAAAGACAGAAUGAAUCUGGGUAUUUGUCCUUUCAUUAUUACAGUACUAGAUCCUUCAGAAAAUUCUCUUGUAGGAGGAAUAUUGUUCUUUAUGAAAAAUCGCCCCUUUUCAUUCCUCUGAACUAAGUAGUUUGUUAAGAGAUUUUUAAUCAUGCUUAAAAACAUACUGUGGUUUUCUAUUCAAUAAAUUGUCAGUUGCAAAACUGUUUUAAACAAUAUCAAUAUUUUAAGCAAAUACAUGAACUACUGCAUUGGCUGUUCUUCUCUCAAUAAAGCACAUAUUACACAGACAUUCUUAAAAUCAUUGCAGAUGUUAAAGAGAAGAUAAAAUUCAUGACUUUAUAAAUGACAUCCUCAUCAUGUAUCUUUUUAACCGAGCUUUCAUGAAAUUUAUCUUUCACCCAAAGGCCUAAUACUGAAAAGAAAUUAGGUUAAUGCUACAAAAGAGAUGCUUUGACUAAGUGAAAUACCAAUAAAAAUGAAGCUCUCAGAGUAUUCCUCCAUACAGAACAACUUCUUCAGAACUUGUCAGUGAUGAAAGUUAAAACAUUUUAAUAAAACUUUCUUUGUCUCUUUGUCUCUCUCACUCUCUCUGCCUUUUAAUAUCCCCUCAGCCUUUAGUUCCAGGUCAUGAAGUCAGUUUUGAAGGAUUUUUUUUUUUUCUCUUUGAAUAUAUCUCCUCUUUCUGUCUUUUCCUCUUUCCGAGAUUUGUCUUCUGCCUAGUUACAAUGGAUGUUACAAUUACCACCAACAGACUAACUAUUACUUUUAGGCAAUAUAGCUAUGUAUCCCAGCUAGUUGAAAAUAUAAAUAUGUGUGCAUAGACGGGGAGCCCAUGAGGAGGGAUGAAAGUCAAGGGAGCUUCUCUCUACAGGAAGACAGUUCAUUGUCCCUCAAACCAGUGGGACCUAGCAAUGGGACUAUGUGUAGGCCUGGGCCAUGCCUGAAAUGUACAAAACCUCCUGUUUAUAGUAUGAAAGUCAUAUUACAAAAUAAUAACUAUUAAUAUAUCAUUUAACUUAAUUGUAUAUUACAGCAUAAAAUUAGAAUAAAAACACCUUAAAAGAGCCCAAAGCAAUAUUAGGAUAAUAAUUUUCUUGUAUUCCAUGUAAAGCUGUGCUAUUUAGGGAUUAGUUUCCUCUGGGGGAAAAUUUUUCUAAGGUUUUAUGUGACAAAAUGUGAAAAUAAAGUUUAAAUGUAUUUUGUGUGGUCAAAUAGAGCUAAGAAGUAGGAGAACUAAAUUCUAGUCUUGGCCAAAAUAGUGGUUUAUGAAUAUAGUAGUUUAUAUUCCGUAUUUAUUAUUUAAAUAUUUUAAACAUUAAAUAAGUCCAUCAUUUCUACAUAUUGAAAUCUGUACUUCUGUUGAUGACAACAAAAGUCAUUAGAAUAGUACUAUUUUCCAAAAAAAUGGAAUAUAUUAAUUUAAUAUUGAGUUUAUAUGUUCUGCAUGUUUAAAAAUUCACUGGUAUCAUAGGAUAUUUUUCCCAUAACAGUAUUUCUUCUAUUCAUAUUACUAUCCCUAACUUGGGCAAUAGUUCCCUCCAUGUUGAUAUCCAGAAAACUGGGUUGAGAAACUAACUCAAGACAAGUGCCAGGAAAGGGGCUGAAAAAGCAAAAUAAGAGAGAUAGAGAAUUAAAAGACAUGCCCACACAGUCUGAAAAUUCACUUCAAAUCUGUCAUUUACAACGUGAUAGCACGUGGAAAAAAUAAUCACUCAAAUCCACAAACUAUCUUGUUUAUCCUGUGCAUAUAGUUCUUCAUUAUUUUUUAAAAGUCUUACCCGGGUCUAAAUUAUUCUUUAUAUGAAAAUCUUUGUAUUUUAAGGCAUGUUUCACCAAAUAUCAAAUUGAGCUAUCAAGGGCCAUUUUAGGCUCUGCCAAAAAAACCUGUCUCUGUCAUCAAGACCUAAAACAUCCAUGAGAGGUGGGUUAUGAAACAUGCCUUAUUUAAAUGUUAGAACUGUGGUGACGUCUCUUACCUAGUCUUUGAGGGUGAACCAUUUUUGAAACCUCUUUGAUACUACACACUGCACUAAAUGCCAGAGACAUGCAUGAAACUUUGUUCAAUCUCUUCUCAAACCUGUUAAAUUAGGAGAGGAAACAGUGUAAUAGAAGCAGAUGCUUGCAAGGCUGUGUGAUAAGUUCUUUGAUAGAGGGUGCUAUGGAAACAGCUAAGUGUGCAUGUGCGGGGUACAUGGGGGCAGGGUGGGUUAAUGAAGACUUCCUGCUUCAGAUGACUUCUGAGAUAAGGGGGAGAGGGAGAAGAAAGUGAGUCACAUGAAAAAGAAGCAGCAUAUGCAAAGGCAUGAAAGUGAGAAGGAAGCAUGCAUGUGUACAUGUGUCCUAUGUAUCACGCAUAGGACAGCUAAGAGAUGAGAUCAAAAUAUAGCUGAGCUGGGCAGCUUGGAAUUUGUCUUAAAGGCUGUGGGAAACAGUAGAAUUACUUUAAAUAAGGGAGUAAGAUGAUUUUGAAGAAAUUACCAACGGUGAGAGAGGUAAGAUGAUUUGGGAGAAAUUAUGCAUGGUAAGAGAGAGGUCAAAACCCCCAUGUUUUGGCCUGGUGCUUGGAUGGAUGGUGAGGGACAAAGGAGAGAAUGCAUGGCUUUAGUUUUAGCCAAAAUGAACUAAGACUCUCUUCUCCAUGUGAGGGGUUGCAGCUGUGGCAAAGAUUCAGUCCCUGGCCUGCAAACUUCCAUAUGCUGAGAGUGCAGCCAACAAAAAAAGAGUUAACAAAGUGGCAGAAAGCUUCAAAAGGAGGAAAAAUAGUUAAAGUAAAGGUACAGGAAGUUGCUGUGUUUCUUUCCUCCAAAAGCAGGAUGUUAGGAAUAAAGAUAACAGAGGUAGAAGAGUCCUGGGUGAUUGAUGAUAGAUUCAGGUCAUACCUGGAUCAGGGCAGGAGAUGAGAUGUCAUGGAGAUGAGUAGAAGUGAAGAAAAGUGUGACAAUAUGAGCUAUUGCAUUUACGGCUUACCUUCAUGGACAUUGCCCUUACCUGGAAUGAUGGCCUGUUAGCUUCCAUUUUCACAGAGUCCAAGACAUUUCCUUCUGAGUAGUUAUAUCAUAUUCGCUUAUUUAUCCAUCAAGCAUUACUGGAUGCUUAUGCGCAAAGUGGUUCAAAAACCAUUCUAUGGAGAUGUUCAAUACACAGGAAGAUUGAUUUUAUUACUAAACAGCAAAAGCAGCAGCAGCAUGGUUGUCCUGGCUGCACAUGGAGCUCAGACAGGCUUAAAGUUCCUUAGUAGUUUAAAUAUAUCUGCAAAUAUAGUCCAGUUGACAUUCAAAAUGAAACUGAGGGAACCAAUGUGUGUUGCAAAAGCAAUGUCCAGGGAGUUCCUCGAUUGUCUAAUGGUUAAUGGUUAGGAUUUGGCGUUUUCUCCACUGUGGCCCAGGUUCAACCCUGGUCUGGGA